AAAUAACAUUAUCUGGCACAACCGAGCGUAAAUAUUAAGCGAGAAAGUCUAGUGGAACGAUGCAGGGUUCAUUGGGUUUGUUUACAAAAAUUCAAGCAUCCGGUUAAGAAGACGACAAAUAAGAAUGGUAUUAAGUUGGUAGAAUGGAACUCCUUCCUGAUUCCUGCACAUGUAAGUUACCAGAUACUCUUGAGGGACCAAUUUAAGGGCAAACAGACAAACGUUUUGAUGCAAAGAAAGCAUUGGAUUUGAAAGUUCCCAUGGAGAAGAAAAAUGGAGAGAUUCUAAAAGUAUGAAGAUACUCCUGUGUAUAAUGAGGAAAUCUUGUCAGUGAAUGUUGUUGCAAUUGUGGACCAGGCCAGAGUUGUACUAAACCAACUAAGACACAAUGAGAUACAGGAAUGACACAAUGAGAAACAGGAAACAGGAAAGUGAUGACUGAUCGCCACCUGUUACAAAUUCAUCUAGAAAACUCCCCACAUCCAACAAGAGACAGUCUGACUUCAAAAUCUUCAUUGAAGGCAACUUAAUGGACAAGACAUCCGUCACAUAAAGAUUCACUAAAAUUGGAAUGAUAUACCAAUUUUAACUUUUAACAGACAAAUACAUUAUAGAUUUGAAAAUAGAUUACCCUUAGAUAAGUUGGAUGAUUAACAUUUACCUCAACACAGUACAAAGUGCUCAUGUUGAACUAUUGUGAUUGAUCAUAGUCUGUCCUUCAUUUUUAUUAACAGUUUCAUACAGUGUUAACACUUUAGUAUGGGGACUCAUUUUUAGCUCAACUUUUCGAAGAAUUUGGAGAGCUAUACUACUCACCCAAGCGUCGGCGUCGGUGUCACCCCUUGGUUAAGGGUUUGCGUGCAAGCACACAUAGGUUAAUAUCUCAGCAACUACUUGAGGUAUUGCAUUGAGACUUUAUACAAUGGUACUCAACCAUCCAACCUACUUAUUUAAACAAGUAAGAUAACUCGUUAACAAGUUUGCAUUUAAUGUAAAUAAUAGGCCUUUAUUAUUUGACUUAGAAAUUCUGGUUAAGGUUUUGCAUGCAAGCACACAUUAUAUCUAAGGUUAAUAUCUCAGCAACUGCUUGAGGUAUUGCAUUGAGACUUGAUACAAUGGUACUCAACCAUCCAACCUAUUUAAUUUUCCAAGUUAUAUAACUAUAGUUUGCAUAUAAUGCAAAUACUUGCGUUUAUUAUUUCACUCAGAAAUUCUGGUUAAGGUUUUGCAUGUAAGCACACAUAGGUUAAUAUCUCAGCAACUACUGGAUGAAUUGCAUUGAGACUUUAUACAACCACCCAACCUAAUUGAAUAAUCAAGUUAGAUAAAAAUUCUGGUUAAAAUUUUGCAUGUAACCACAUUUAUGUUAAUAUCUCAGCACAUCAUGUAUUGCAUUGAAAUCUAAUCUAACAGUGAUCCAUGCAUGUUUCGCCAAAACUUUUCAAUCCUUUCACUGAAAAGCAGCGGAAUAGUCGAGAGCGCUGUCUCUGUGACAGCUCUUGUCUCUUUGGUCUUUAUUCAUACUGGCCAGAAUAUGUUUACCAAAAAAAUCUUAGUAGAGAUUGAUAACUGUUCAGGUUGGACAAAAAGCAUGUAGGUUGUUUGUUCUAAUAAUAUAAACUGUAAAUGCUUCAGAAACUAUAUAUAUAAUUUUCAUGAUAUUUGUCAGUAUUUAUUCUCGUCAACAUUUAAAUAAUAUUAGGUGAAACUUGUUUAUUGGUCAAAAUGUGUUUGAUUAGAGUGGCCUCAAGUUCCACUUUAUAUGAAUGAAAUUUGGUCAAGUUUUAGAAAAAAAACUAUGUUCUAGUUUUAUAGGCCAUAUUCUCUUCCCAAGCCCUCCUUAAAGAAUGAAUGUAGGUAAGAUGAAACAGGAGUCACUAAAUCAAGUAUUAAAAGCCUUAAAAAUUGCUAUUCAUAGAGAUAUUGUUUCCUCAUCAUAAAUCACAACUUAGCCAGCAAGACUUUACAACAAAUAAGGCAUAACAUGUAAAAAGUUAAUAAUUAGGCACAUAUUUUAGUGAAUAAAAUCUUGUGAACAUAUUAUUGAAAGAAAUAAUGUGUCUGGUUCUGAGGUGAGCAAUAAAGCACAUUGCUUAAACAAUUGAGCUAGCUCAUUAUGAAAAGUUUGUUUUAAACAUGAAUUAAAUGAAUGCAAAUCAUAUAUUAUUAUUUUUAAUCUAUAUUUUUUUUUAGUUACCUUUUUCUGUUGUUAAUUUCCAUACUGACUUGGUCAAUUAUGGCUAAUUGUCUAAUUAUAUUUUAACUUCUAACCUAAAUGUUUUAUUGUACUUUUGAGUGUUCUGUUAACUAUAUUGCACAUUAUCCUAUAUGACAGUAUAAAUUCAAUAAAACCAUGGUUAUUAAGUUCCAUACAUAUUGGAGCACAUGGUAAGCCUCUAGAAAUGUCACUUCUUAAGCCUAGAUUCUUGAUCUGUUCGCCACAUUGUUUUGUUAAUUUUUUGUUUAUUAUAAAAACAAAUGAUUGUUUAAUGUCAAGGAAACCUUUUUAAAGUUAAAAUGUAGAUGUACAUAGAUAACUGUCAAAUAUUAUUUACCAUUUAAUAACUGUCUAAAGGCAAAAUUUCCAUUCAUUUUUAUAUUUGAUUUGGGUCCCUAGGGUCAUGGUCACUGUAACUAAAAAUAGAAAAAUGCUUGGUACUGAAUAACUUCAGUUUUAAUACAUUUAAAACUGAAUCUCACAAUAAAGGCUGAAGUUCUUGUUGCAUUGCAGCAUUUCUAGUUAACUUUUUAAUUUGACUCUUUUUAUUGCUUUCGACAGGCACAUAUUACAUCAUUAUUGUAUUCAUUUUUAAGACAAAGCCUCAUUUAAUUGAGCGUGCUGUCCAAAGACAGCUCUUGUUGACAUAAUUAUAAGACACCUUAUGUUAUGGUUUAUAUGAACAAUAGCUGUUUCUGUGUAUGUUUUAGAAGAAACUUCCAUUUCUUAUCAUAUUGAUGGACAUAGAUAUACAUACAUGUACGGGAUUAUUGACAUCAGAUUCUUAGGAUUAAAUUUACUAAUGUUCUGUUCAUGUUCAAAAUAGAUACAGUUAUGGUAAAUG